GAUGAACGCUGGCGGCGUGGAUAAGGCAUGCAAGUCAAACGGCCAGCCGUACUUUUGAUGGAAGAUAAAACCAUUUAUUCAUAUUCAUGAUAAUUGAAUUAAAGUGGUGUCAUCUUGUUUCAAAAGUACGGCUGGCAGUGGCGAACGAGGUAGUAAUACGUAGAUACUUCCCCCGAAGUCUGGAAUAAUUCGUCGAAAGACGAACUAAUACCAGAUAAUCUCUUAGGAGCAAAGAAUUUCGCUUCGGGAAAGGUCUGCGGGAUAUCAGCUAGUUGGUAGGGUAAAAGCCUACCAAGGCUAUGACGUCUAGGGGACCUGAGAGGGUGACCCCCACCGAUGGAACUGAGAUACGGUCCAUACACCUACGGGUGGCCGCAGUCGAGAAUCUUCCGCAAUGGGCGAAAGCCUGACGGAGCGACGCCGCGUGAUCGAUGAAGUCCUUAGGGAUGUAAAGAUCUUUUGUCGGGGAGAAAGUAAUUGAUAGUACCCGAAGAAUAAGGGGUUGCUAAACUCGUGCCAGCAGCAGCGGUAAUACGAGUGCCCCAAGCGUUAUCCGGAAUCAUUGGGCGUAAAGGGUGUGUAGGUUGUCUUGUUAGUCUUCUGUGAAAUUCUUCGGCUUAACCGGGGGUCCGCAGGGGAAACGGCAAGACUAGAGGAUGUGAGAGGUGAAUGGAACUCAUGGUGUAGGGGUGAAAUCCGUUGAUAUCAUGGGGAACACCAAAAGCGAAGGCAAUUCACUGGCACACUCCUGACACUGAAACACGAAAGCGUGGGUAGCGAAUGGGAUUAGAUACCCCAGUAGUCCACGCCCUAAACGAUCUUCUCUAGCUUUUCGGAGUAUCGACCCUCUGAGAGGCGUAGCUAACGCGUUAAGAGAAGCGCCUGGGUAGUACGGCCGCAAGGCUAAAACUCAAAGGAAUAGACGGGGACUUGCACAAGCAGUGGAUUAUGUGGUUCAAUUCGAUGACAAACGAAGAACCUUACCAGGGUUAGAAAUCCAAGCGAAGACAGGAGGAAACUUCUGUCGUCUCACAAGGACGGUUGGACAGGUGAUGCAUGGCCGUCGUCAGUUCGUGGUUUGAAUUGUUCCCUUAAGUGGGGUAACGAACGCAACCCUCGUUGGCUGUUACAAGUGUCAGCCGAGACUGCCCUAGAUUUUGUUUGCGAAGCAAACAAAAUCAGAAUCAUGAAGCUAGAUUCUGAUUUUGCCUCGUCGGCAAAAUCUAGGGAGGAAGGCGAGGAUGACGCCAGGUCAGCAUGUCCCUUUGAUAUCUUGGGCUACACACAUAAUACAAUCGCCGCUACAACGCGACGCAAUACCGCAAGGUGGAGCAAAUCGUCAGAAAAGCGGCGCCAGUUCGGAUUGAGGUCUGCAACUCGACCUCAUGAAGCCGGAAUUGCUAGUAAUCGCGGGUCAGCUAUACCGCGGUGAAUACGUUCUCAAGUCUUGUACUCACCGCCCGUCAACUCAAGGAAACCAGAAGUACCCGAAAUUUCACCUCGCGUGGACCUACGGUAAAUUUGGUAACAGGGAGUAAGUCGUAACAAGGUAAAU
rnacentral:rRNA from 1 species